UGGGGAAUUUUGCGCAAUGGGGGAAACCCUGACGCAGCGACGCCGCGUGUGGGAUGAAGGUCUUCGGAUUGUAAACCACUGUCGCGAGGGACGAAGCUCUGACGGUACCUCGAAAGGAAGCACCGGCUAACUCUGUGCCAGCAGCCGCGGUAAUACAGAGGGUGCGAGCGUUGUCCGGAAUCACUGGGCGUAAAGGGCGCGUAGGCGGCCCGGUAAGUAGGGGGUGAAAUCUCAUGGCUCAACUGUGAGGCUGCCUUCUAGACUGCCAGGCUUGAGCACAGUAGAGGCGAGUGGAAUUCCCGGUGUAGCGGUGGAAUGCGUAGAGAUCGGGAAGAACAUCGGUGGCGAAGGCGGCUCGCUGGGCUGUUGCUGACGCUGAGGCGCGAAAGCGUGGGUAGCGAACAGGAUUAGAUACCCGAGUAGUCCCUGAGCGGGCUGGCAAGGCGCAU
rnacentral:rRNA from 1 species